AUACUUACCUGGCACAGGAAGAUACCGUGAUCACGAAGGCUUUCUCCCAGGGCGAGCUCACCAUUGCAAUACGUUGGCGCUGACCCCCUGCAUUACCCCCAAAAGUGUUAACUCAUGCGCAUUUUGGAUAGCGGGGGACUGCGUUCGCGGCUAUCCCCCU